AGUGUAAAUGGCACUUGAAGAUACAAGGUGGCUGGCUUUCACGGACCAAGCUACUGCAGAUCAACCAUCAGUGUCUGUCAUUUUCCUGGAAAAUGUCUCAGCUACCAGGCCCUGAAGGAAAUGUUUACAUUGCAAAACUGACCAACCAUCAGACCCACCAGAAAUCACUUCUCCAAGGAAACAAUGCAAAAUGCCCAGGAAGAGUUACUUAUAUUUUCUGGAGUAAGGAAGAAUAAAGAUAUCAAACAGCAAGAUGACUUUGGUGGCAUCCUUGCCUUUGCUUCACAAGACUCCUCACUCUCCAACUAUAGUUUCCACUUCUACGACUCCUGAAAUCUUUCAGCCCCAGGAUAGAUUGCAUGUGUUUACAUGUUCAUGGGAAUACUUGGGUGCAUGUGUCUGAUGAGAUUGUUCAUGUGUGUGCACACACAUA
rnacentral:lncRNA from 1 species